AUUGAACGCUGGCGGCAGGCCUAACACAUGCAAGUCGAGCGCGAAAGGUCUUCGGACUGAGUAGAGCGGCGGACGGGUGAGUAACGCGUAGGAAUCUACCUAGUAGUGGGGGACAACCUGUGGAAACGCAGGCUAAUACCGCAUACGCCCUACGGGGGAAAGCGGGGGAUCUUCGGACCUCGUGCUAUUAGAUGAGCCUGCGUAAGAUUAGCUAGUUGGUGAGGUAAAGGCUCACCAAGGCGACGAUCUUUAGCUGGUCUGAGAGGAUGAUCAGUCACACUGGAACUGAGACACGGUCCAGACUCCUACGGGAGGCAGCAGUGGGGAAUAUUGCACAAUGGGGGAAACCCUGAUGCGGCCAUGCCGCGUGUGUGAAGAAGGCUCUAGGGUUGUAAAGCACUUUCAGCGGGGAGGAAAGGUUGUAAUUUAAUAGAUUGCAGCUGUGACGUUACCCGCAGAAGAAGCACCGGCUAACCCCGUGCCAGCAGCCGCGGUAAUACGGAGGGUGCAAGCGUUAAUCGGAAUUACUGGGCGUAAAGCGCGCGUAGGCGGAUGCUUAAGUCGGAUGUGAAAGCCCCGGGCUCAACCUGGGAACUGCAU
rnacentral:rRNA from 1 species